GUGCUCGCUUCAAAAGCACAUACACCAAAAGUGGAAUGAUACAGAAAAUAGAAUGGCCCCUAUAUAAGGAUAACAUGUAAAUUCAUAAAGCAUUCCUCAUUUUU